rnacentral:rRNA from 1 species
GUCGUAACAAGGUCUCCGUUGGUGAACCAGCGGAGGGAUCAUUGCUGGAACGCGCCCCAGGCGCACCCAGAAACCCUUUGUGAACUUAUACCUUACUGUUGCCUCGGCGCUAGCUGGUCCUUCGGGGCCCCUCACCCCCGGGUGUUGAGACAGCCCGCCGGCGGCCAACCCAACUCUUGUUUUUACACUGAAACUCUGAGAAUAAAACAUAAAUGAAUCAAAACUUUCAACAACGGAUCUCUUGGUUCUGGCAUCGAUGAAGAACGCAGCGAAAUGCGAUAAGUAAUGUGAAUUGCAGAAUUCAGUGAAUCAUCGAAUCUUUGAACGCACAUUGCGCCCUCUGGUAUUCCGGAGGGCAUGCCUGUUCGAGCGUCAUUUCAACCCUCAAGCCUGGCUUGGUGAUGGGGCACUGCUUCUUACCCAAGGAGCAGGCCCUGAAAUUCAGUGGCGAGCUCGCCAGGACCCCGAGCGCAGUAGUUAAACCCUCGCUCUGGAAGGCCCUGGCGGUGCCCUGCCGUUAAACCCCCAACUUCUGAAAAUUUGACCUCGGAUCAGGUAGGAAUACCCGCUGAACUUAAGCAUAUCAAUAA